CUGACCCCCAGCCUGGAAAAGGAAGGGAAGCUCCACACUCCUGGGAAAGCAGGGACGUGGGCGUGGCCACACCGUACCUCACUCUCCGUGGAGGGGCCUCAUCCUGGACACCCACUAGCACACUUGCUGCAGCACCGUCAAAAGAAAAACCACACGGUCAUUUCCCUGGGUGCCGGAAAGAAGCCUGACCUCUAACACCCAUUCCUAGCAGGAAAGAGAGUGACCAGGGAAAGGAGCCCCUGAGGACUGGAAAGCUUAAGGACCGGGAGAAAAGGAAACUGAAAAAGCAGAUUCCAUAAUCUUGUGCGAGAACCACGUGAGUCCCAGUCUUAUCCCUGAGUAUCCAGGACAGACCCAAGGUGUAUCCGUGAAGCCUGUAAGACUUCAACUAAGAUUAAACCACUGCCAAGCCUCAGACGAACCCCUACAUAGCAAUGUCCAAGACCAACAAAAACCACAGAGCAAAGGUUCUGGAAAUUGAGCUGACACUGAAUUCACCACCACAGACAAUAUGUGCAGUCUGAACCUAAUUGGGGUGACUGCCUAUUAAAAAAAAAAAUUCUCCAGAGGG